rnacentral:rRNA from 1 species
AGCGAACGCUGGCGGCAGGCCUAACACAUGCAAGUCGAGCGGCCGUAGCAAUGCGGCAGCGGCAGACGGGAUAGUAACACGUGGGAACGCGCCCUUCGGUUCGGAAUAACUCAGGGAAACUUGAGCUAAUACCGGAUACGCCCUUACGGGGAAAGAUUUAUUGCCGAAGGAACGGCCCGCGUCGGAUUAGCUAGUUGGUGAAGUAAUGGCUCACCAAGGCGACGAUCCGUAGCUGGUCUGAGAGGAUGACCAGCAUCACUGGGACCGAGACACGGCCCAGACUCCUACGGGAGGCAGCAGUGGGGAAUAUUGGACAAUGGGCGCAAGCCUGAUCCAGCCAUGCCGCGUGGAUGAUGAAGGCCCUAGGGUUGUAAAGUCCUUUUAACGGGGAAGAUAAUGACGGUACCCGUAGAAUAAGCCCCGGCUAACUUCGUGCCAGCCGCCGCAGUAA